rnacentral:rRNA from 1 species
AGAUGGCGACCGGCGCACGGGUGAGUAACACGUAUCCAACCUGCCGAUAACUCGGGGAUAGCCUUUCGAAAGAAAGAUUAAUACCCGAUGGCAUAAUUAGACCGCAUGGCUUAUUAUUAAAGAAUUUCGGUUAUCGAUGGGGAUGCGUUCCAUUAGGCAGUUGGUGAGGUAACGGCUCACCAAACCUUCGAUGGAUAGGGGUUCUGAGAGGAAGGUCCCCCACAUUGGAACUGAGACACGGUCCAA